CUCAAGAUUUAACUCAGAGAUUGGGGUCGGGGGAUAUUGAGGUUUAACAAAACCAGUAUUGUGAUUCCUAUUUUAUAGAUGAGGAAAAGGAGUCUCAGCAGUUCUAUUUUUCCCCCAGGUCACAGAGCUGGUAAAAAUCAAGGUACGGGCUGACUCAGUUUGGGCGCUGUCUAGCCCUUCACAGAAUUUCAUUCCUUCUCUGUUUUCUGAAGCAGAUGUUGACAUGGAAGCUGUGAUUGUCGUCAUGGUGAUCUGUCUGUUUACAUCCAUCCUGAGUACUCUAAGACAGGGUGAACAUCUGUGAGUCUGGGUCCAUCACCUGCAAAUGACUGAGUGGUCUCCACGGGCCCUUUCAGCUCUGAUGUUCCAUGAUCCUAUAACCCUGAAAACAGCCUGGGGUGUUUGAGCUGACCUCUAGAAAGCAGAGUAAUUGUAACUUUAAGAGCUACAUAGAAUGUGGAGAAGAGCCACUGGACAGGCAGUUGGUGGCUGUUGGAAGAUUCUGCCCAUGAAGUUCUCUCUACAAGUCAAGUCGAUGAUCUCCGAGGCUUUGUGAGCAGUUUGGGGAAAAUACGGAGAAGGGCAAGGUGAUGUGAGGCUUCUCCCUCAUCAGAACUGUGAUGAAGGGAGUGGUAUCUCGGGCCUUGUGAGUUUCAAAGGUUGGCAGAGUGGACCUAGGAAUGAGAAUCAGAAUUCAGGCCGGGUUUUGCUGCCAAGGUCUCAUCGAUUCUCUUAAGGAGCAAGGAGCUCUCUUGAGGAGGGAUCUUCAAAACCCCAGCCAGCAGAAAGACUGGUGAUCCCAUCUGGUGAUCAUGUGGCAUCUAAACGUGACCUUGGUGGGGCAAAUGCUAUGUAGGAACUGAGUUAAGUUUUGGGUCUUUUUCUUCAGAGACUGAGGUGGUAUAGGGGAAGAGAAUGUCCACAGCAAUUGUGCUGUUCAAUUACAGCCACCAUGUUUGGCCCAAGAGAAGAAACAAGAACAUGCAGCUCCCUCCCUUUUUGUAGAAGAAAUGUUUCUACAUGUAUUCUUGCUGUACCUUUGAAGUAACUGUCUCUCUGCAAAGGCUUUUUGACAUCAAGUGGUUCAGCGGAGCUGGGGCCUUCUUCACUGGCCUCUAAGCGUGAGGGGGAGGGGAAGAGAAGCAGAGCCAGCGAGUGCUAAGGGCAGCCCAACCCCGAGGUGGGGGUUCGUAGCCUGCCUGGCUCUGGGAGGGUGGGUCAGAGCACACCUGGGCCGUGUGAUUUCAUUUUCAGUGGCACCACAGGUUGGUUGCCUGGGACACCCAGUCAAAGCACUGACAUUUGUAUUAGGGUCCACAGCCACAGGUCUCAAGCUUACCCUGGUUGAUCUUUGCAAGGACUAUAAAAAGUUUUGGUCCUGGGGAGAACUCUAACACUUUCACCUUAGGCAAGCUGGAGCAAUUCCCUGGAGGACAUCCCUAUUGGAUACUGUGUACUAGUGUACACAGUGCUGGGGGGAAGACACAACCCAAGUGAGAUUGUUAUCUCCUCGAUCCUGCUGAGAUUUCAUCUUUCUCCCGAGUCACAAGGUCCAUUUACUCCUAUGUAUUCUGUUGUCUCCACUAACCUGUACAACUUCCCCAUCUGUUUCAUUGUUUACUUUGAUAAAUAUG